rnacentral:lncRNA from 7 species
GUUUCCUGACUUUCCCAAGGAUGACUGUAUCUCAGUGUGUGCGUGGCUGGAGAAAUCACAACUUUACACGUGGUAUUUCAGCUUGCAGUUCCAAGCACCUCAAUUUCCUUGUGUUCACCAGUUUUCCCUGACUUCCUAGGUUUCAAGCCAUGCAGAUGUACUUCCUGCACCCAAAUUUCUAUCCAUCUUGAAGCACCUUCUGGAGCACUUUUCACAAAGCACAGCCUGUUGUGUUGCCUGAGGAUGUUCUCAACGUGAGCAUGCCCAGAAACAGCGCUGGGAAAAUGUGUGUUGGGACUGAAUAUUGCUCAGAUGCAAGCAAAGACUGACACUGUGAUAAUUGCCUUUGAGGGGGCAAUUCUUCAUCCCUUGGUUGGUGAAAGCGGAGUGCUUCCUUGGGCCAUUACUGUGGGCUGGCAUUGCGAGAGCUGCAUGCCCUGCAUAUUCACCAGUGUGGCUCUCUCCACUGGACAUCAUGGCUGGUGACUUGGAAGAGUAGAGCAGUGGUUUUAAACCUGGUUUUAUUUUUGAGUUUCUUCUGAAGUGAGGGCCUGGUGGAACUUUCUUGCAGAUACCCUCAGUGUCUGUAACUCAAGUCCCAUGCCUUUGUGCUACGUUAUGUGACAGACUUGUUCAGUGCUUUGUAGGAGAAUUUGUUGGAGUUUACGUACCUUGGAUUACUCACAUUGAUCAUCCUCAUAGUUCUGCCUGGCCCUGAAAUGUAUUAAUUUUUUCCACACUGCCUGGACUGCAUUUCCCUGUGUAAGACUCAGGAUGUGGUAUUCCUUGGAGAAUUCUUUUGCACUGUAUAACUUUACAGUAUGCACAAUUUCUGCCCUCCAUCAGUUCACAUCAUCUGCUAUGAGCAAGUAGGGGUGGUUGUGGCUGUAAUCUGUGUAUCUCAGUUAAUAGUUGCAUCAAAUGUUCAAAUGUUCAUAUCCUUUCCAUAGUGACAAAUGAUUUUAUGGAAAAGACAUUUGGGCUAUGGUUAGGAAAAUACUUGUAUAAAAUUCCAUGUAUUCAGUCUUUGUGCACUUGUAUUUCUGUUUUCAACUGAAAUGACAAUCCUUAUCCCCUUGCUAGCAGAGUGAAGGUAAUGCAUCCAUAAUGAGCAAGCUGAGCUAUAUUAUGUAUUGCCAGAACUCGCCAUUUAAGCUCUGCCACUUGAAUUCCUGCAGAAAUUAUGUCCUUGAUUUCCGCCUUCCAGAUUUACUGUCCUGCUUUCCCAUGGGGAGGACUCUCACGUUGCAAGCCCAGCAGAUUUCAUCUGAGCUGGUGGGAAACAAACGUCCCAGAGUCAUUCACAGUAUGGCUUUUCCAAUACCGUUGCACAAAAAAGAGAAAAGAGGAUGCCAGCUCUGACAGUGACUCCACGUAUGCUUUGCACCACUUGUAGAUUUUCGAAUCAUUAAGAUAGGAAAAGACCUCUAAGAUCAUUUAGUUCAACUGCCACCACACCCCCACCAUGC